rnacentral:rRNA from 1 species
CGUACAGGAGUAACGCGUGGCGGCGUGCGUUAACACAUGCAAGCGAACGGGGACGACCCUUGAAAGAGAUUACGGUCAAUGGAAUAGGAAGUGCUUAGUGGCGGACGGGUGGAGUAACGCGUGAGUAACCUGCCUUUCAGAGGGGACGAACAAGUUGGAAACGACUAGCUAAUACCGCAUAACAUAUAGGUGCCGCAUGGCACUUAUAUCAAAGAUUUAUCGCUGAGAGAUGGACUCGCGUCUGAUUAGCUAGUUGUGGGGUAAGGCCCACCAAGGCGACGAUCAGUAGCCGGACUGAGAGGUUGGCCGGCCACAUUGGGACUGAGAUACGGCCCAGACUCCUACGGGAGGCAGCAGUGGGGAAUAUUGGGCAAUGGGCGCAAGCCUGACCCAGCAACGCCGCGUGAAGGAAGAAGGCUUUCGGGUUGUAAACUUCUUUUGACAGGGAAGAGCAGAAGACGGCACCUGUCGAAUAAGCCACGGCUAACUACGUG